AAUCAACGCUGGCGGCGUGCCUCAGACAUGCAAGUCGAACGAUUAAGACUCUCUUCGGAGAGUGUAUAAAGUGGCGCACGGGUGAGUAACACGUAGGUAAUGUACCGAAGGGUGGGGAAUAACUUAGGGAAACUUAAGCUAAUACCGCAUAAUGCAGCGGCUCGACAUCGAGACAGUUGUUAAAGGAGCAAUCCGCCUUUUGAGCAGCCUGCGGCAGAUUAGCUAGUUGGUAAGGUAAUGGCUUACCAAGGCUACGAUCUGUAACCGACCUGAGAGGGUGGUCGGUCACACUGACACUGAAUAACGGGUCAGACUCCUACGGGAGGCAGCAGUCGGGAAUUUUGGGCAAUGGGCGAAAGCCUGACCCAGCAACGCCGCGUGAAGGAUGAAGUAUUUCGGUAUGUAAACUUCGAAAGAAUAGGAAGAAUAAAUGACGGUACUAUUUAUAAGGUCCGGCUAACUACGUGCCAGCAGACGCGGUAAU
rnacentral:rRNA from 1 species